UACGGGGGGAGCAAGCGUUGUUCGGAUUUACUGGGCGUAAAGGGCGCGUAGGCGGUCAGCACAAGUCAGUUGUGAAAUCUCCGGGCUUAACUCGGAAAGGUCAACUGAUACUGUGCGACUAGAGUGCGGAAGGGGCAACUGGAAUUCUCGGUGUAGCGGUGAAAUGCGUAGAUAUCGAGAGGAACACCUGCGGCGAAGGCAGGUCCCUGGGUUGACACUGACGCUCAUGCACGAAAGCGUGGGGAGCAAACAGG
rnacentral:rRNA from 1 species